GACGAACGCUGGCGGCGUGCCUAAUACAUGCAAGUCGAACGCAGUGGGGACGGGUGAGUAACACGUGGGUAACCUCCCAUCAGAGGGGAUAACACUUGGAAACAGGUGCUAAUCCGAUAUUGAUGGAGGGACUCGCGGUGCAUUAGCUUGUUGGUGAGGUAACGGCUCACCAAGGCCACGAUGCAUAGCCGGCCUGAGAGGGUGAUCGGCCACACUGGGACUGAGACACGGCCCAGACUCCUACGGGAGGCAGCAGUGGGGAAUAUUCGGCAAUGGACGAAAGUCUGACCGAGCAACGCCGCGUGAGUGAAGAAGGUUUUCGGGUCGUAAAGCUCUGUUGGUAGAGAAGCGGUAUCUAAACAGAAAGCCACGGCUAACUACGUGCCAGCAGCCGCGGUAAUUC
rnacentral:rRNA from 1 species